rnacentral:rRNA from 1 species
AUCCGCCCGGGGAUUACGAACAUUAGUUUAAAACCCAAAGGACUUGGCGGUGCUUAACAUCCACCUAGAGGAGCCUGUUCUAGAACCGAUAACCCCCGUUCAACCUCACCCUCCCUAGCCUUUUCCGCCUAUAUACCGCCGUCGUCAGCUUACCCUGUGAAGGACUAAUAGUAAGCGCAAUUGGUAAAACCCAAAACGUCAGGCCGAGGUGUAGUGCAUGAGAGGGGAAGAAAUGGGCUACAUUCGCUGCUCAUCAGCGAAUAACGAAUGAUGCAUUGAAACAUGCAGCUGAAGGAGGAUUUAGCAGUAAGCAGAAAGUAGAGUGUUCCGCUGAAACCGGCUCUUAAGCGCGCACACACCGCCCGUCACCCUCCCCAAGCUCCUGGACCCCAACAGUACUUCAAACCCCAACAAAUGCGAAGGAGAGGAAA